rnacentral:rRNA from 1 species
AGAUUGAACGCUGGCGGCAUGCUUUACACAUGCAAGUCGAACGGUAACAGGCCGCAAGGUGCUGACGAGUGGCGAACGGGUGAGUAAUGCAUCGGAACGUGCCCAGUCGUGGGGGAUAACGCAGCGAAAGCUGUGCUAAUACCGCAUACGAUCUAUGGAUGAAAGCGGGGGACCGAAAGGCCUCGCGCGAUUGGAGCGGCCGAUGUCAGAUUAGCUAGUUGGUGGGGUAAAGCCCACGAAGGCGACGAUCUGUAGCUGGUCUGGAGAGGACGACCAGCCACACGUAGGAACUGAGACACGGUCCAGACUCCGUACGGGAGCAGCGAGGUGGGG